rnacentral:lncRNA from 1 species
UACCGGCCCGGCCCCCGCCCGGCGCGCGCCGCUCUGAUCGCGCCGGGCGGCCCCGGCGGCGCGCACGUCACGCGCGGCGGGCGCGCGCGCCUGCAGCCGUGCCCGCUCCCCGUCCCGCCCGUCCCGUCCUGCGCGCGGCUCCCGGAGCGGCCGGUACCGGCUCCGGGCGGGGGGAGGCGGGAAACCUGCCCGUGCCUGGGAACGGGCUGGGAACACUGCGAUUCUUCUAAAUAUUGUUAGUGAAAAGAGAUACCAACAAUAAUGCUGAAAUAUGCUUUAUGUUAAAAACUUUUCACUGCCUGGAGUUUGUGACAGAUGUACUUCAUUUGGAGAAGAAUAUAAUUAACAGUUACAGUGGUACUCUGACAACUUAACUGUCCAGGAGGGAUAACAAAGGUAAAGACAAAGCAAGUAAAAUGACCAGCCUCAAACUGCUCUGAUGAUGAUUGUACUAGAAGUACAGUAGCCCAAAGGGACAGAGGGAGACUCAAAAAAGUGCUGGACAUUGAAGAUCACUUCACUCUUGCUUGACUUUUUUUGUCUAGAUCUUUUUGUUUGUUUGUUUUUCCAGAAAACAUGUAUAUGAAAAAGAGACACAUUUCUGGCUCUUUGACCUAUCUGUUUCUAACCUCUGGCAAUAAUGCAUAACUUCUCCUAUAAAAGCUAAAUGCACUGUCAUUGUGACAACAUAUAAUUCCCACAUCCUUGCUAACAAAGGUCACCUUUGUUAAGUAGUUUCUUAACAAAAUCCUCUAAAA